GAAAUGAUGCAAAAAACAAAUGUAAAUACAUAUUUUAUGUUUAUUGAUGAAGGUGGUCAUAAUAAUUUAGAAAGUUGUUAUGGUAGUCAUGUAAAUUUAGCUUUAAUAAAAUUUUUAUAUAUAUUACGAAAUAAUAUACGUGAGAAUGUAAAUACAGUGUAUGAUAUUAAUACAUUAAACUUAAAGAAACUGAGAACUGGUUUUAUAUUAAAUAAUACUAAGAAUAUAAAAGAGAAACUUAAAGAAAAGUCUAUAACAGAUAGUAAACAAACAACAAUGGAAAGUAUAAAUCACUUGUAUAAUGAUAGUUCAAAUGGUUCAUUUGCGAGUAAUUUUUUGGAAAAAUAUAGUAGUGAUAGUACGAUUCGUAAUUAUAGUAAGUACCAUAAUAACUAUGUUAGUGGAUAUGAUCACCCGCGCAGAAAUCAUAACACAGACAGGCAUAAUCAUACAAACAAGCACAAGCAUACGACAGAUCAUUAUGAUCAUAUAAAUAGUAUGAUCAGCAGUAGUGGUUAUAAUCAUAUGCCACCUAAUUAUAAUACUAGUAGGGGUCACAAGUUGGCUUGUAACUACUCAUCAAGUGAUAGCACAAUAUUAGAGUCAAUGGAAUCUGUUUUUAAAACGAUACCAGAUAAAACUUUUUAUGAAAGUGACAAUUCGAUUAACAUAGAGCAGUUGUACAAUUACAAAUCUGUUAAUAAUGGUGUUAGUGAUAGUACUAAUAAGUAUAACGAUAUAUAUACUAUGAAUUAUAGCAUGUUCAAACCAAUGAGGUAUGAUAAAGACACAAAGGAACGAGUGAUGUCUGAUGAUAAAGUUGUCGGUUAUAACAAGCAUGUGAGUAAUGGAAAUAACAAUAAGAAUGAUAAUAAUAAAAGUAGUAAAUGUAGUAAGAAUAAUAAUAAAAGUAAGAAUAAUAAUAAAUGUAAGGAAGCAGUUAUUGUAAGAACAGUUAGUGAUAGCAAUAACAAGAAUAGAAGCAGCAGCAAUGGAAAAUGUAACAUUACCACUACUAACAAUAAUAGUAGUAGUAAUGGUAAAUAUGAUAAAAUAAAAAUUAUAAAAAAUAAAGAUAGUUGCAAAUUCAAUUAUUCUGAUACAGCUAAUCAAAGUUAUAUAAAUGAAAAUGGUGUGAGUGAUAUUAAUAUAUCACAAAUUGCUAGCGGUACUGAUAAUACUAAUAAUAAAAAUAAGAAUAUAAUAACCCGAAUUAAUAAUACUAACAGUAAUAAUAAUAAUAACCAUUGGUUUAAAACAAAUUUGAAUCAACCAACAUCAAAUAUGAGUAAAAUGAAUAUGAAAAUGUAUCAAUUAAAAAGAAAUAGUUACAAUAUAAAUAAAAUACCAAAAUUUGUUUAUAACAUGAAUAAUAUGGUAAUC
rnacentral:lncRNA from 1 species